rnacentral:rRNA from 1 species
UACAAUGAAGAGUUUGAUCCUGGCUCAGGAUGAACGCUAGCGGCAGGCCUAACACAUGCAAGUCGAACGGUAAGUUGAGAGCUUGCUCUUAACACGAGUGGCGAACGGGUGCGUAACGCGUAUGCAAUCUGCCCUUUUCUGGAAGAUAGCCCUUAGAAAUGAGGAUUAAUACUCCAUAGUAUAACAAUUUCGCAUGUUAUUGUUAUUAAAGCUUCGGCGGAAAAGGAUGAGCAUGCGUCCCAUUAGUUAGUUGGUAGGGUAACGGCCUACCAAGACUCCGAUGGGUAGGGGGCCUGAGAGGGUUAUCCCCCACACUGGUACUGAGACACGGACCAGACUCCUACGGGAGGCAGCAGUGAGGAAUAUUGGUCAAUGGAGGCAACUCUGAACCAGCCAUGCCGCGUGCAGGAUGACGGCCCUAUGGGUUGUAAACUGCUUUUAUAUAGGAAGAAACCUCUCUACGUGUAGAGAGCUGACGGUACUAUAAGAAUAAGGACCGGCUAACUCCGUGCCAGCAGCCGCGGUAAUACGGAGGGUCCAAGCGUUAUCCGGAUUUAUUGGGUUUAAAGGGUACGUAGGCGGAAAAUUAAGUCAGUAGUGAAAGCCCAUCGCU